rnacentral:tmRNA from 1 species
GGGGCUAUUUGGUUUUGACAGCAGGUAGAAUGGUUGUGUAAGCACGCCGAGCAAUGAGGCAAUGCUCGUAAAUAUCGCUUCAACAUAUAACUGGCAACACUUCUUAUGCUCUCGCUGCCUAAUCGAAGUAUAGUAGAUUAGCAUCUUCGGGUGCCAGGCACCUGAACGAGACGUCGCUCCAAGCCGGGUCUGUGGGCUGAAAGGAUAUAGCGGCGCAGGAAUACACAGAAUAGGUCUUUUAGACUACGAUAAGAGACUGAUAGCUGAAGGCUGAAUGCCGAAAGCACUAAGUAGUUAAGCCGGCGGUUGGUGGCUUGGGUCUUGCCAACGGACGAAAAUUCAGGCCAAGAUAAGCGUGGAGAAAGCACAAGUAUUCCUUGUUUGGACACGGGUUCGAAUCCCGUUAGCUCCACUC